rnacentral:ncRNA from 1 species
UGUUCUCGACGGAGAACACCGAGUUGGCUGAAUAAUCCUUUUCCUAAAAGGGGAUAAAGCUAACAACUAGGUUAUAGUGACCACUCAAUGAUCCGAAUGGAUUGAGAGAACUAUCGUAACUGAUAGAGUUGUUGAAUAUGUGAUAAUAGAAUUGUAUUUAAGGCACAUAUUGGAGGUAAUACAAUAAUCCUUCACUCACCUU